UGCACGGUGGCUUAGUGGUUAGCACAUUCGCCUCACACACACACACCCCUCAAAGGUCGAGGGUUCGAUUCCUUGUGUGUGA